UGGGGAAUAUUGCGCAAUGGGGGGAAACCCUGACGCAGCAACGCCGCGUGAAUGAAGAAGGCCUUAGGGUUGUAAAGCUCUGUUUACGGGGACGAUAAUGACGGUACCCGUGGAGGAAGCCACGGCUAACUACGUGCCAGCAGCCGCGGUAAUACGUAGGUGGCAAGCGUUGUCCGGAUUUACUGGGCGUAAAGGAUGCGUAGGCGGAUGAUUAAGUGAGAUGUGAAAUACCCGGGCUCAACUUGGGUGCUGCAUUUCAAACUGGUCAUCUAGAGUGCGGGAGAGGAAAGCGGAAUUCCUAGUGUAGCGGUGAAAUGCGUAGAGAUUAGGAAGAACACCAGUGGCGAAGGCGGCUUUCUGGACCGUAACUGACGCUGAGGCGUGAAAGCGUGGGGAGCAAACAGGAUUAGAUACCCUGGUAGU
rnacentral:rRNA from 1 species